CUUUGAUUCUUGCACUGGGGCUCUGUGAUUUCUAGUUACGCCCCGGCUGUUCAUCUUUCUUAAGAAUGCAGUCCAUUUCUGCCAUUGAAUAUGCUAUGAGGAGUAGUUGAUUUUUUUUCUCCAAUGCAAAGUAUGCUCUGGGUGUGCCUGGACUGAACUAUGAUGUUAUGCUAACUAAAAUAACACACACAUUACUUGGAAAAAUAGGGUUACACAAUUUUAGGUGGUCAAUGUUUUAUUAAUCUGUACAACCCAACCAACAUUUCAAAUG